rnacentral:ncRNA from 1 species
CUGGGUCACAUGGAGUAGCAGACUGGAUUCCUUCUGGUCAGGUGAAAGACGACCUUAGCAAAAGGAGAGAUACUUCCCUGGGUACCCAAUCCCUAAAACUGCCCUUUGAUGCCCCCGCACGGACGCUUCUUGCAUGGCGGGAGAUUGUGCCAGCUCCCGUUUCAUGUGCGUUGGGGCAACGCAGAUUUAGACGGCACCCUACAAGACAACUGUACGGAGGGCGAAUACUUUUUUAUGACCAG